UUGAAGCGUUUGGGGGAACUC
rnacentral:miRNA from 1 species